rnacentral:rRNA from 1 species
GACGAACGCUGGCGGCGUGCUUAACACGUGCAAGUCGAACGAUGAUGAUGGAGCUUGCUCCAGUUGAUUAGUGGCGAACGGGGGAGUAACACGUGAGAAAUCUGCCCUUGUCUCUGGGAUAACUGCGGGAAACUGUAGCUAAUAACGGAUACUUUAACCGGAAGGCAUCGUCUGGUGACGAAAGAAUUUCGGUCAUGGAUGAGCUAGAGGCCUCUCAGCUUGUUGGAGAGGUAACGGCUCACCAAGGCGAAGACGGGUAACCGGCCUGAGAGGGUAACCGGUCACACUGGGACGGAGACUCGGCCCAGACUCCUGCGGGAGGCAGCAGUGAGGAAUAUUGCACAAUGGGCGCAAGCCUGAUGCAGCAACGCCGUGUGAGGGAUGGAGGCCUUCGGGUUGUAAACCUCUUUUAGCAGGGAAGAAGCGAAAGUGACGGUACCUGCAGAAAAAGCACCGGCUAACUACGUGCCAGCAGCCGCCGUAA